UAUGAAAGUAUUAUUUGGGAACUAUGAAAUGUCCGUGAAAUCUUCACAAUUUAUGUUCCUCUGCUGCAGCUCCAGCCGGUCCCUCCAUUCGGGGUCCCUGACUUCCCACAACAGACAUUGACUUCUGCUCUCUAGCUAUGAAAUAAAAGAUGAACAGAAAAAUGAUGAUAGUCUUGAGCAAUGCAUUUCCUCUUCCAUUCUGACAGCCUGUGUGUCUGGGCACUUGGCUGGGUUUCUGCCGCCCACAUGGAGAAUAGAAGCAUUUGCAUAACACUGUGGGCCUUUGAAAUGCCUAUUCCAGCUGCAUUUCAGAGAAAGCUUACCCCAGCUGUAAAAUGAAUGCCUCAAUCAAGGCUACAGCUGGGUCCUCUCAGUAGAAUGGAGUCUUCCUGGAAAAAGAAAGGCCAGAAGGAAGAUGUCCUACUGGACCAAAAAAAUACAUCCUUCAUUUUGUCAAAGCCCUGACACAAUGGACAAGAAUCUACUAAAAGAUACUGAGGUCAACAUGCAUUAAGGGAUAGUUCAUUUGCACGUAAAUUAUAGAGGAAACCGAAGGAAAUAACAGAAAUGACUGUUGGCAAUUUGCAGCAGUCAUUUUUGUUAUGAAACAAUAAAGGCCUUCGUUUUUCAUAAUUUUGUUAAUGGAAAACCAAACUCUAUAAAAUAUUUUUAAAAGGUUUACUCUAAGCCAAUAUGAGUGAUUGUGGCCCAGAGAAAAAUACAAAACCAAGAAGUCUUGAGUAAGUAGUUCCAAGGCAGCCGAGUUACAGUUUGGUUUCACACAUUUAAGGGAGAUAGGAGUUCCUGUCAAAGACAUAAACUAAUACAUGUAAGGUAAACAUUCGUUGGGCCUGAAAAGGCCGGACGUUUCAGUGGGGGCUUACAAGUCAUAGGUGGGUUUUAGGGAUUUCUUAGUCAACAGUUGACUGAGAGAGUUAAACUAUUGUCUAAAGACCUGAAGUCAGUACAAAGGAAUGCUUGAGUAAACAAAAUUAGGUUGGCCAGGUGCAAUGGUUCACAUCUAUAAUCCUGGCACUUUCAGAGGCCAAGGUGUGCAGAUCACUUCUGCCCAGGAAUUAGAGGCCAGCCUGGGCAACAUGAUGAGACCCCCAUCUCUACAAAAAAUACAAAAAAAAAAAAUUAGCUGGGCAUGGUGACAUGUGCUUGUAGUCCCAGCUACUCAGGAGGCUGACAAGGGAGUAUAUCUUAAGCCUAGGAGGUUGAGGCUGCAGUCAGCCAUCAUCAUGUCACUGAACUCCAGACUGGCCAACAGAGCAAGACUUUGUCUCAGAAAAAAAAAAAUAAAAAGUAAAAAAAUAAAAAAUAAAAGGGUUGUGAGGACCAAGGCUCUUGUUAUGUAGAUAAAGCCUCAAAGGUCUCAGCCCUCAGAGAGAAUAGGUCUCCUUUCAGAGCUAAAGGUGUCAAGACUAUCAGUUAAUCUAUUCUUGAUCCCAGAAAGGCCUAAAAAGGGAAUGCCUGGAUGCAUUAAUGAUGAUUCUGUAUAGACAUAAAUUUCCCCCACAAAAGAUGGCUUUGCAGGGCCAUUUCAAACUAUGAUAAAUAAACAUAUUUUGGGGUAAAGUAUUUUGAUUUCCUUCAUGAUCUGCUAUCUUCCAUAUGAUGCUUUACCAGAGUCAGCUUGAAAAGUAAGUCAUAUUUUACUGGGUUAAUUGAAAAGGUCCAUUUAACAAUAUUUUAUGGUUUGUAGGGUGUGACUAAAUUCUUUCCUUGCACAGCUUUAGGUCUUGGUAAUUAUUUAUAUUUAUAAUUUUGUAUUUUAUUGACACAAGGAGUUUGUUUGGUCAGUUUUAUUAUCUCUAUUUUAACCAAAAUGCUGGUCAGUUGUGCCUAAACUCCAAAAGGGUGGGGAUAUAAGGGAGUGUGUUUGACCUCCUUUCUUAUCCUGGCCAGUGGCCAGGAAUUCAGUUUUUAAGGUUUUUUGGGGUCCCCCUGGCCACGAGGGGUCCAUUCAGUCAGUUGCAGGGCUUAAGAUUGUUAUAUUGGUUUACAACUUUUUGCAUUUACAUACAAAACCAGUGGGUUCAUUUAUUUUGAUAAAAUGGUGAGCUCUUCAGUGGGUUUAAUUUCAUGUGGUAUAUAUGUACUGAUGUUUUUGAGAUGGAAGAAGCCAGACUCAACACAGGCACAAAACAGGAAUAAAAUUUAGUCACAUAGGAAGAAGAAAAGUAAAUAAUGAAGAAAGUACCUGCCAAAAUACAAAUUCAGAAAUAUAUAAUGAGUAUUUAUUUUUAUUAAAUGAGAAACCGAUGUAUCCUAGACAUCUGAAAACCUGAAUUUAAAUGCCAGGUAAUAAAUUAAAAAGAAAUUUAAUCCCAAUUGAUAUAAGUACUUAGAGUAAAUUUUCACUUUUCAUUACAUAUAAAUGUUUAGGCAUUAAUUUUUGAAUUACUAUUUUCCUGUGAAAAGGGACAAAUACAUUCUAUCAAAGAUAAAGUAGCAAAAACCCUGAGUUGAAUGAACUCAAUUGUCAUUCUACUUUAAUCAACUAGAAAAGUGUUUCUCAAACUUUAGCAUGCAUAGGAUGACACAGGAAUCUUGUUAAAACAGAUUCUGGGUUAUUAGGUCUGGGGUCAGAAGAACCCGAGUUUCUGCUUUUCCAUCAAGUGCCUAAGUGAGGUAGAUAGUGCUAAUCCACAAACCACACUUUAAAUAGCAAGGAACUAGAUUACUCUCUUCAUUAAAUUAUAAUAUAAACAUAAAAUAAUUCAAUUUUUCAGAAAAAUAUCGAUAAAACAUUAGAAAAAGAUAUAUAAAACUGUCAGCUUCUAAAUCAUAUACUUAUUAGAAGAAAGGUUAUCUAUGAGGACUGGCAGGCCUCUGAGGCCAAGCCUGCACAUAUAUAUCCAGGUGGCCUGAAGCAACAGAAGAAUCACAAAAGAUGUGAAAAUGGCUGGUUCCUGCCUUAACUGAUGACAUUAUCUUGUGAAAUUCCUUCUCCUGGAUCAGAAGCUCCUCCACUGAGCACCUUGUGACCCCUGCCCCUGGCCGCAAGACAACAACCCCCUUUGACUGUAAUUUUCCACUACCCACCCAAAUCCUAUAAAACUGCCCCACCCCUAAACUCCCUUUGCUGACUCCUUUUGCGGACUCAGCCCACCUGCACAUGGGUGAUUAAAAAGCUUUAUGGCUCACACAAAGCCUGUUUGGUGGUCUCUUCACACAGAAGCAUGUGAUGAGGACACAAAUUAAGAUAUAAUAAUAUAGAAUAAAGUCAAAUUGGCAGUUAGUUUAAAUUUUCACUUAUAUUCAAAUUUGUAGCUACUAAAGAUAUUUUUCCUCCAAAUUUAAAAAUAUAUUCACUUGUGUAUCUGUAUGCAAGAAGUGUUCCUGAAACAUGAAGCUAAUUAUAUUAGUGUCACUGGUGGUUUUUAUUUAUUAUUCAAUGAUAGGAGCCUUUGUGUAUGUUCCACACUGGCUCCUCCUCAUGGUUGCUUGAAAUAUGCCUAAACUUUUUCAAAACAGAAGUCAAGUCAGACCUCUCCUUACAUUCCCUGGCAGAGUUCACAUCGUAGCUACUAUGCUUGUGUAAUUCCUGAUACAUGGCUUAACUGUUACCCAAUUUCCUUGAAUUCUCUGUACCAGUUUCUCUCCUGAACUGGAAAAAAAUCUCCUGGGUGAAAGGGUUAAAAAGGGGCAACUGUUCUUAGGUUGUAUGCUGGCCCUGCACUGGAAAGAUGCUUAAUCUUGGAAAUGUAUAAUCUUGGACGAUUCUUUGUAAUGUGAAUGCUAAUCUGUAACACUUUCAGUAAAUCCAACAAUUCUGGAAAGAGCUAUGGGUUCAGACCUUUACCACACAAGACUAAGUGCUCACUGACCACUAAGAAGGCAGAACAGAAAGUAGUCUAUGCCUUUCCUUGCUGGGAGCAGUGGCUCAUGCCUGUAAUCCCAGCACUUUGGGAGGUCGAGGCAGGUGGAUCACUUAAAGUGAAGAGUUUGUGACCAACCUGGCCAACAUGGAGAAACCCCAUCUCUACAAGAAAUAAAAAAAAUUAGCCAGGUGUGUUGGUGUAUGCCUGUAAUCCCAGCUACUCAGAAGGCUGAGACAGGAAAAUCCCUUGAACCUGUGAGGAGGAGGUUGCAGUGAGCCUAGAUUGCAUCACUGCACUCCAGCCUGGGUGACACAGCCAGACUCUAUCUCUAAAAAUAAAAGCAUUUCCUUGUUGUUCCCUUCUGAUGGGUUACAGUGCCAGUUUCACUCCCACUGAAGCCCUGAAAUUCUCCUUCCUUAGUAUAUUUAAACUAUUUGCAUUUAAUUUCAAAUUCAUUAUUUUAGGGCUUAAGUCCACCUUGGUUUUUUUUGUUUCUGUUUGUUCUUUAGUUUUUUAUUUGUCUUGCCAUUUUUUUUCCUGCCUUUCUGUGUAUUAUUGGAAGAUUUUAAAAAUAUAUAUAUAUAUAUUUAUACUAUUUAUGAGUAUAUUUCUUUGUAU
rnacentral:lncRNA from 1 species